CUAUACAUGCAGUCGAGCGAAUGGAUUAAGAGCUUGCUCUUAUGAAGUUAGCGGCGGACGGGUGAGUAACACGUGGGUAACCUGCCCAUAAGACUGGGAUAACUCCGGGAAACCGGGGCUAAUACCGGAUAACAUUUUGAACCGCAUGGUUCGAAAUUGAAAGGCGGCUUCGGCUGUCACUUAUGGAUGGACCCGCGUCGCAUUAGCUAGUUGGUGAGGUAACGGCUCACCAAGGCAACGAUGCGUAGCCGACCUGAGAGGGUGAUCGGCCACACUGGGACUGAGACACGGCCCAGACUCCUACGGGAGGCAGCAGUAGGGAAUCUUCCGCAAUGGACGAAAGUCUGACGGAGCAACGCCGCGUGAGUGAUGAAGGCUUUCGGGUCGUAAAACUCUGUUGUUAGGGAAGAACAAGUGCUAGUUGAAUAAGCUGGCACCUUGACGGUACCUAACCAGAAAGCCACGGCUAACUACGUGCCAGCAGCCGCGGUAAUACGUAGGUGGCAAGCGUUAUCCGGAAUUAUUGGGCGUAAAGCGCGCGCAGGUGGUUUCUUAAGUCUGAUGUGAAAGCCCACGGCUCACCCGUGGAGGGUCAUUGGAAACUGGGAGACUUG
rnacentral:rRNA from 1 species